AUGGAUGUAUGGUUUGAUUCAGGUAUUAUGAAAUACAAGAGUUAAGUUAUAAGCAUGGGUGGACCUUGUAUUCCAUGAACUAACAUGAAGGAAAUUGUGCUGCUAGAUUGAUAAUAUUUUGAUAACUUCUAUAGUUUGAUAGAAUUGUAAAUAAUUGGUUCCAUAGGACUUUUAUUGCUUUAUGAACUGUAAAAUGUCUGAGGAUACAUGUCAGAAGACUAGGUUGAUAGGUGGUUAGAUAUAUGCCAUUUCAGGUUCUUCAUGGGCUGCUGU
rnacentral:misc_RNA from 1 species